rnacentral:rRNA from 1 species
UACGUAGGGUGCGAGCGUUAAUCGGAAUUACUGGGCGUAAAGCGUGCGCAGGCGGUUUUGUAAGCCAGAUGUGAAAGCCCCGGGCUUAACCUGGGAAUGGCAUUUGGGACUGCAAGGCUUGAGUGCGGCAGAGGAGACUGGAAUUCCUGGUGUAGCAGUGAAAUGCGUAGAUAUCAGGAGGAACACCAGUGGCGAAGGCGGUGUUCUGGGCCAGUACUGACGCUGAGGCGCGAAAGCGUGGGGAGCGAACAGG